rnacentral:rRNA from 1 species
UAGCAGGCCUUCGGGCGCUGACGAGUGGCGGACGGGUGAGUAACGCGUAGGAAUCUGCCCCGUAGUGGGGGACAACGUGGGGAAACCCACGCUAAUACCGCAUACGCUCCCGGCUUUGGCCGGGAGGAAAGCGGGGGACCUUCGGGCCUCGCGCUAUGGGAUGAGCCUGCGUUAGAUUAGCUAGUUGGUGGGGUAAAGGCCCACCAAGGCGACGAUCCUUAGCUGGUCUGAGAGGACGAUCAGCCACACUGGGACUGAGACACGGCCCAGACUCCUACGGGAGGCAGCAGUGGGGAAUAUUGGACAAUGGGCGGAAGCCUGAUCCAGCAAUACCGCGUGUGUGAAGAAGGCCUGAGGGUUGUAAAGCACUUUCAAUGGGGAGGAAUACCUGUUGGUUAAUACCCAGCAGAAUGACAUUACUCAUAGAAGAAGCACCGGCUAACUCCGUGCCAGCAGCCGCGGUAAUACGGAGGGUGCGAGCGUUAAUCGGAAUUACUGGGCGUAAAGCGUACGUAGGCGGUUCGUUAAGUCAGAUGUGAAAGCCCUGGGCUUAACCUGGGAACUGCAUUUGAAACUGGCGGACUAGAGUUGAGUAGAGGU